ACCAGACUCCUACGGGAGGCAGCAGUGGGGAAUAUUGCACAAUGGGGGAAACCCUGAUGCAGCGACGCCGCGUGAAGGAAGAAGUAUUUCGGUAUGUAAACUUCUAUCAGCAGGGAAGAAAAUGACGGUACCUGACUAAGAAGCCCCGGCUAACUACGUGCCAGCAGCCGCGGUAAUACGUAGGGGGCAAGCGUUAUCCGGAUUUACUGGGUGUAAAGGGAGCGUAGACGGCUGCGCAAGUCAGAAGUGAAAGACCGGGGCGCAACCGCGGGACUGCUUUUGAAACUGUGUAGCUAGAGUGCAGGAGAGGUAAGUGGAAUUCCUAGUGUAGCGGUGAAAUGCGUAGAUAUUAGGAGGAACACCGGUGGCGAAGGCGGCUUACUGGACUGUAACUGACGUUGAGGCUCGAAAGCGUGGGGAGCAAACAGGAUUAGAUACCCCAGUAAUA
rnacentral:rRNA from 1 species